UGUUUUUCUUACCAAGCUGUUCUCUUUCCAGGCCUCUGGGAAUUUUGGUCUUUGCUUUUCUCUGGAAACAAGGACUUGCAUAUCUUCAAAAGUGGGGUGGUUUCCAACUUCUACUUGGAAUGCCGUUUGGAACUCUGGCACAGAUUCUCCUGCUUGCAGAAAAGGGGCAGAAGAGUCCUGAGGAUCCUGGGCAGGUAGUGGAGAAUUCAGUCUACCUUUCAGAUGAAGAAGGAACAACUUCUGGUAGAUGACAGAAAACUUGGAGGAAGACAAAAAAACUAUGCUCAUACGAAGAGAAAAGAGCAAAGCAGAAGUAAUAUAAUGCAAGUACUGCGGGCCCAAUUGGCAAAAAAAAGCUCAAGACCAUAUAGGUUGGAAACAUGCAGAAGAGGCCUUCAUCUUGCAGUAACCUAGCCAGGAAACUUCUUUCAAAAUGUUGCUAUCUACACUGUGUGUCACAUGUUGCUGAAUAAAGUUCCACAAUCCUU